CUACAUGUUGACGCAGUGUCGAAAUGAAGAUGUUAAGCUCACCGCCUGGGAAGUACGGUCGCAAGACUGAAACUUUAAGGAAUUGGCGGGGGAGCACCACAAGGGGUGCGGCGUGCGGUUUAAUCUAACUCAACGCAGAGAACCUUACUAGAAGCGACGGCAAGAUGAAAGUCAACUUGAAGAGUUUACUUGAUGAGCCGAGAGGUGGUGCAUGGCCGCCGUCAGCUCGUGCUGUGAAGUGUCCAGCUAAGCCUGGCAACGAGCGAGACCUGUAUUCGCAAUUGCUAACAGCCACAUGUGGGACUGAGCACUUUGCGAAGACUGCAUUGGAAACAAUGAGGAAGGUGCAGGCUACGGUAGGUCUGUAUGCCCCGAAUCUUCUAGGCUACACGCGCGCAACAAUGGUUGGGACAAUGGGACGCCACUCCGAAAGGAGAAGCUAAACCUCUAAACCCAAUCCAAGUCUAGAUCGAGGCUUGCAACUCAGCCUCGUGACAACGGAAUCCCUAGUAAUCAGAAGUCAUCAUCUUCUGGUGAAUAUGUCCCUGCUCCUUG
rnacentral:rRNA from 1 species